UAGGGAAUCUUCCACAAUGGACGCAAGUCUGAUGGAGCAACGCCGCGUGAGUGAAGAAGGUUUUCGGACCGUAAAGCUCUGUUGUUGGUGAAGAAGGAUAGAGGUAGUAACUGGCCUUUAUUUGACGGUAAUCAACCAGAAAGUCACGGCUAACUACGUGCCAGCAGCCGCGGUAAUACGUAGGUGGCAAGCGUUGUCCGGAUUUAUUGGGCGUAAAGCGAGCGCAGGCGGAAGAAUAAGUCUGAUGUGAAAGCCCUCGGCUUAACCGAGGAAUUGCAUCGGAAACUGUUUUUCUUGAGUGCAGAAGAGGAGAGUAGAACUCCAUGUGUAGCGGUGGAAUGCGUAGAUAUAUGGAAGAAUACCAGUGGCGAAGGCGGCUCUCUGGUCUGCAACUGACGCUGAGGCUCGAAAGCAUGGGUAGCGAACAGGAUUAGAUACCCUGGUAGUCCAUGCCGUAAACGAUGAGUGCUAAGUGUUGGGAGGCUUCCGCCUCUCAGUGCUGCAGCUAACGCAUUAAGCACUCCGCCUGGGGGAGUACGACCGCAAGGUUGAAAC
rnacentral:rRNA from 1 species